GCACGAGCGCACCCCUCGUCCCGUGUUGCUAACUUCGGUGCACUCACGGGAGACCGCCAGCGACAAGUUGGAGGAAGGUGGGGACGACGUCAAGUCAUCAUGGCCUUUAUGUCCAGGGCCACACACGUGCUACAAUGGGCGGUACAACGGGUCGCGAAGCCGCGAGGUGGAGCUAAUCCCUAAAAACCGUCCUCAGUUCGGAUCGCAGGCUGCAAUUCGCCUGCGUGAAGCUGGAAUCGCUAGUAAUGGCGCAUCAGAACGGCGCCGUGAAUACGUUCCCGGGCCUUGUACACACCGCCCGUCACAUCACGAAAGUGGAUUGUACUAGAAGUCCGUGAGCCAACCUUCGGGAGGCAGCGGCCCAAGGUAUGAUUCACGAUUGGGGUGAAGUCGUAACAAGGUAGCCGUAGGAGAACCUGCGGCUGGAUCA
rnacentral:rRNA from 1 species